UACGUAGGGUCCGAGCGUUGUCCGGAUUUAUUGGGCGUAAAGAGCUCGUAGGCGGUUUCGUAAGUCGGAUGUGAAAACUCAGGGCUCAACCCGGAGACGCCAUCCGAUACUGCGAUGACUGGAGUCUGGUAGGGGAUCACGGAAUACCUGGUGUAGCGGUGAAAUGCGUAGAUAUCAGGAGGAAUACCGGUGGUGUAGACGGCUCUCUGGACCGCAACUGACGCUGAAACACGAAAGCGUGGGUAGCAAACAGG
rnacentral:rRNA from 1 species